ACUUUGUCAAAUUUCCCACGACUCAUAUUGACUAACCACUGCAAUUUUCAUUCCCAAACCUAACCAUCACGACACCCGUCCAGCAAUCGACCUCCUCUUCCUCCUUCUCCGCCUCCGACCACUCUCCUCCUCCUUCUCCGCCUCCUUCUCUCCAGUCCAGUCGAAGCGCGGAGCUGCGUUCACCGUUCUCCGUUCUCUCUCCGUGGGCUUCCCCCUCUCAGCCCUUCUCUUCGACCGUCGAGGCGUCGACGACCUUCGCUCUCCUCCAUUGUAAGUGGACGAACAGCCUCAAACUCGAUCUUGGUUGCUCGCAACAAAUACUAAAAUGAAAUCGAUUUCAUGGUUUUAAUGAUUAUUUGAUAGAAAGAAGUUGAAUUUAUAUUAAAGAAUAAUACUUUAGGUUCCUGUAUUGUUCUUUUGGAUUCAGGAAUGUGAUGUCCUCAUCCCUUCUGCUUUGGGUGGAGUUCUUAAUAGGGAUAAUAUUUCAUCAGUGAGAAGCUGAAAACUUUCUGGGUUCGAUUUCUGAUUCUUCAAAGUCCGUGUCUUGGCAUGCUAGUUGCUGCAACUUCUGGAACUAGAUUUGUUCUUGGAAGUGGCAGUGCCGUCGAUUUUGCUGGACUUUGUUGGAUAUGUGUUGGUACCAUGAUGUUUGCAGCAUCUGCUAAAUCUUUAAAUCAGGUGUUCGAGAAGUAUAAUGAUGCCAAACUGAAGAGAACGAUGCAAAGACCCCUACCUUCAGGACAUAUUACUAGGCCUCAUGCAAUUGCCUAGGCAUUUACUGCUGGCUUAGCUGGCACUGCUUUGUUGGCAAGUUGUUGCAGGCUAAUAUGCUGGCAGCUGGUCUUGAUGCUUCCAAUUUAAUACUUUAUGCAUUUCUGUAUACUCCAUUAAAGCAAAUUCACCCAGUAAAUACAUGGGUUGGCGCUAU